AGAUUGAACGCUGGCGGAAUGCUUUACACAUGCAAGUCGAGCGGCAGCGCGGGGCAACCUGGCGGCGAGCGGCGAACGGGUGAGUAAUGCAUCGGAACAUGUCCAUUCGUGGGGGAUAGCCCGGCGAAAGCCGGAUUAAUACCGCAUACGCCCUUAGGGGGAAAGCCGGGACCGCAAGGCCUGGCGCGAAUGGGUUGGCCGAUGCCCGAUUAGCUAGUUGGCGGGUAAUGGCCCACAAGGCGAUGAUCGGUAGCUGGUCUGAGAGGAUGAUCAGCCACACUGGGACUGAGACACGGCCCAGACUCCUACGGGAGCAGCAGUGGGAAUUUGGACAAUGGGGGCAACCUGAUCCAGCCAUUCCGCGUGAGUGAAGAAGGCCUUCGGGUUGUAAAGCUUACGUUUGUACCGGUAACGAAACGGUUGUGGUGAAUAGCCACGACUAC
rnacentral:rRNA from 1 species